UACAGAGACUGCAAGCGUUAUUCGGAUUCACUGGGCGUGAAGGGUGCGCAGGCGGCCAAGUGUGUUAGGCGUGAAAGCCCGGGGCUUAACCCCGGAAUUGCACCUAAAACUACAUGGCUAGAGCAUUGGAGAGGGUAGCAGAAUUCAUGGUGUAGCAGUGAAAUGCGUAGAUAUCAUGAGGAAUACCAGAGGCGAAGGCGGCUACCUGGACAAUUGCUGACGCUCAGGCACGAAAGCGUGGGGAGCAAAAGGG
rnacentral:rRNA from 1 species